UGCGUAGGCGGAAUAGUCAGUCAGUGGUGAAAUCCUACAGCUUAACUGUAGAACUGCCAUUGAUACUUCUAUUCUUGAGUUCAGUUGAGGUAGGCGGAAUGUGUAGUGUAGCGGUGAAAUGCUUAGAUAUUACACAGAACACCGAUUGCGAAGGCAGCUUACUAAACUGACACUGACGCUGAGGCACGAAAGCGUGGGGAGCGAACAGGAUUAGAUACCCUGGUAGUC
rnacentral:rRNA from 1 species